UACGUAGGGGGCGAGCGUUGUCCGGAUUCAUUGGGCGUAAAGAGCUCGUAGGCGGUUCGGCAAGUCGGGCGUGAAAACUCCAGGCUCAACCUGGAGACGCCACCCGAUACUGCUGUGACUCGAGUCCGGUAGGGGACCACGGAAUUCCUGGUGUAGCGGUGAAAUGCGCAGAUAUCAGGAGGAACACCGGUGGCGAAGGCGGUGGUCUGGGCCGGUACUGACGCUGAGGAGCGAAAGCGUGGGGAGCGAACAGG
rnacentral:rRNA from 1 species